rnacentral:rRNA from 1 species
AUGGUGUUGUUUCCUCUUGGGACCAUCGUUUGUGGAGCAGCUCUGGAAGACAGAGGCGGGGCAUGGAGCGGCUUCGUCUUGCACAGAACUUUCAGUGGAGAUAUCAAGUCAUGCCUGGCCGACAGGUGCUACGUUGUGUCAUGCAUGUUUGGCAGGUGCUACGCACGACAGAUCUUCCAGAGACUUCAAGCUGUAUUGGGUGGUGGUAGUUGGUGGCAUGGUGAUGCGGUGUACCGGCGGCGACCGCAACAUGCUCAACAGUUUGUACGCAGGGAGGUGGUGCCGUUGGGCUCCGUGGUGGCUUCGACGGAUGGCCGAACUGGCAAUGAUGAUGCGGAUCUCUUUUCGGAAGAUGUGUCAGUUGUUUGA